GAGUCAGGGCAGAGGAGCAGAGACAGUGAGAGGGGAGAAAUCUACUGGAAAGGUGGACAUCAACCCUCCACUCCAGCUCCUGCUAGGUCUCUGUGCUGCCUUCAAGGUCCCGUUAACAGCCGUUAACUUGAAACUUCAGGGCAGUUUAGAGCUCUGUUUACUGAUUAAAGUCCCUCCUUCAUGCAGAGGUGUUAAAGCUGAACUUAGACCUUUGUAACUACCUGCUGCUGCCUGCUGACGUGUCAAAGCCUGAAACAACCCUUCACACAAACAGGAAGCAGUUUGUGAUGCUUCCUGAGUAAAGAGACGAUCAGACGGAGCUUCAGCGUCCUCAGACUGAGUCCAGCUACAACUCUGCUGCUUCCAGACAAACACUGAAGGGACUAAGCUGCAGGUUGUAUUGGACGGAGGCCUGAACACAAACAUCUUCUGGUCUGUUGAGGUAAACUGUUGAGAGAGAAGCAGCUGUUUGGACGAACAGGAAGCAGCACAAAGGCUUUAAAUGAGACGCUUCGGCUUCCAGUGACCUUCAUCCCGACACGCUGAGACGCCUCACACCUCCACAUCCUCCAGGAGGCCGUCAGACUACCGGCCAUCACUUCCACCUCCAAGCUUCUACCUGCAAGGUGACAACAGACGAGUUCCUCUGAGGCCUGAAGACCGUCCUGAAGCUGGGAGGAGCUCCGUCUGAGAACAUCUCCAGGAGGAAACUCUGGAAGCAGCACCUUCAAGUAAAGUCGUCCUGAAACGUCUCAGCACUUUAAAACACUCUGCAGCUUCUUCACGGCCCACUGGACUGAAGGUCGACGGAUCGGAGACGUCUGACAGCCGGAGGUGAUGUUUACCGCCAGGUCACCACUUUAUUCCUUUAACGGGAUUUAUGACAGCAGACAGACGCUUCUGUGGGUUUGACUGUUCCUGUACGGCUGUUCCUGUAAGACUGUUCCUGUACAGCUGUUUGGUUACGACUGUUCCUGUACGGCUGUUCCUGUACGGCUGUUCCUGUACGGCUGUUCCUGUACGGCUGUUCCUGUACGGCUGUUCCUGUACGACUGUUCCUGUACAGCUGUUUGGUUACGACUGUUCCUGUACAGCUGUUCGUGUACGGCUGUUCGUGUACGGCUGUUCCUGUACGGCUGUUCCUGUACGGCUGUUCCUGUACGGCUGUUCCUGUACGGCUGUUCCUGUACGACUGUUCCUGUACAGCUGUUUGGUUACGACUGUUCCUGUACGGCUGUUCUUGUACGACUGUUCGUGUACGGCUGUUCCUGUACGACUGUUCCUGUACGGCUGUUCGUGUACGGCUGUUCCUGUACAGCUGUUCCUGUACGGCUGUUCCUGUACGGCUGUUCCUGUAAGACUGUUCCUGUACGGCUGUUCCUGUAAGACUGUUCCUGUACGGCUGUUCCUGUACGGCUGUUCCUGUAAGACUGUUCCUGUACGACUGUUCGUGUACGGCUGUUCCUGUACGACUGUUCCUGUACGGCUGUUCGUGUACGGCUGUUCCUGUAAGACUGUUCCUGUACGGCUGUUCCUGUAAGACUGUUCCUGUACAGCUGUUUGGUUACGACUGUUCCUGUACGGCUGUUCCUGUACGACUGUUCCUGUACAGCUGUUCGUGUACGGCUGUUCGUGUACGGCUGUUCCUGUACGGCUGUUCCUGUACGGCUGUUCCUGUACGGCUGUUCCUGUACGACUGUUCCUGUACAGCUGUUUGGUUACGACUGUUCCUGUACAGCUGUUCGUGUACGGCUGUUCGUGUACGGCUGUUCCUGUACGGCUGUUCCUGUACGGCUGUUCCUGUACGGCUGUUCCUGUACGGCUGUUCCUGUACGACUGUUCCUGUACAGCUGUUUGGUUACGACUGUUCCUGUACGGCUGUUCUUGUACGACUGUUCGUGUACGGCUGUUCCUGUACGACUGUUCCUGUACGGCUGUUCGUGUACGGCUGUUCCUGUACGGCUGUUCCUGUACGGCUGUUCCUGUACGGCUGUUCCUGUAAGACUGUUCCUGUACGGCUGUUCCUGUAAGACUGUUCCUGUACGGCUGUUCCUGUACGGCUGUUCCUGUAAGACUGUUCCUGUACGACUGUUCCUGUACGGCUGUUCGUGUACGGCUGUUCCUGUAAGACUGUUCCUGUACGGCUGUUCCUGUAAGACUGUUCCUGUACGGCUGUUCCUGUACGGCUGUUAUCAGCUCAGGGUCCAGACAUGUUAAAGGUCUCAUCUGGUGGAAACCUGUGGUGUUUUCUGUGAAACGACUAGUUUUCCUCCCAGCUUUAAAACUCUUCGUACCUAACUACGACUCAACUGACUGGAAUUUAACCAGAAUGACUAAAAUGAGUUGAGUUUGUUCAUAAUGACUCAAAGCUAGUCCAGAAUAACUGAAAUGACUUAAAUUUAGUCCAAAAUGACCCGAAACUUCAGAAUGACAACAUCUUGUCCAAACAAAAGGUUUUCAUUCCGUUCAUUCAUUUCCAAAGUGAAAAGUGUCCAAAAUGUUUUAAAUUACCCAGAAUGACCAGAACUAGCUGAAAAUUAAUUCAAAUGUGUGAAAAAUUACAAAAAUGGGUCCAAAAUGUGUCUCCAAUGACUCAAAACCUGUCCAAUGCUCAAAAUUUGUCCACAUGGCUCAAAAUGUGUCCAAAAUAAUUGAAAUGUGUCUAAAAUGGCUCAAUUUCUCCAAACUGAGUUGUAAACUGGCUGCAUGAGUGAACACAGGAGUCCUCAUGCGUUUAAACGUGCCCAAAAUGACUUAAAUUGUCCACAGUUAAUCAAAAUGUGUCCAAAAUGAGUUAAAAUGUGUCCGCAAUGACCGAAAACUUGUCCAAAACUGCAAAAAAAUCAAGAAUGGCAAAAAAUUUGUCCAAAUUGACUUGAAAAGGAGUCCAAAAUGACUUUAGUCGUUCAGUGAAAUGUUUUCCUCCCUGCUGUCAGUCACCCACACAGUCUUCUUCCUGAAGGGGGCGGGGCCAGCAGCAGCUACAGGAAACAGAAAACCAGGAAAUCAAACAUCUUUGGUGUGUUUUCAGCCCAAAAGUAUGUAAAGAAAAUGUUCCUGUGGUUUUAUGGACGACUUUAGCCUCUUUCAGGUGAUUGUUUCUGUUUUUCAGCCCUCAUUAACCUCAUUUUCAGCCUCACAGGAUAAAAAACACUAAUAUCUACCAUAAAACAGCUGCUAACGUUAGCGGCUAGCUGUUCAUCAGAGAUGCUGCUUUUAUUCAUCAGGAGGAUGUUGGCUCUGAGCUUCCUGCUGCCUUUAGGUUCAAAGAUCUGACUGUGAAUCAGAUUAAAUCUGCCCUCAUUUUAUUAUUUCUGUCUCUAGUUUUAACAGCAAACGAAUAAAACGCUGCUAAAUGUCAGAUAGUCUGGGUUUCAUUUAACCUGUUUACUAAAAUAAAUUUUGCUUGUGAUGUUUAAACAUGAAGUGAUCGUUUGUGAAGCAAAGUCUGGAUCGUUUUUGAACAUUUGAAUCUCAUAUAAUUAGAAUGUGGUGGGAAAAGUGCAAUAUUUCUCAUGAGGCAAGUGAAAAUUAUUUAUAUUCUUGGCUAAUUACACACAAACUGAAAUACCUCCAGCCUUUAUUUGUUGCAGCUUUGAUUCAGUCAAAAUAAGGUUUAAAUAUUUCGGUUUAUGCGUAAUGAGGCUAGAAGAUGUUAAUGCACAAAAAUGAGCUGUGGAUUAUCCAGAGUCACCAGAACUUUAUGAAGAACUCCCACAGUGAAAUGUUUUUCCUCUUAUUCUAAUAAAAUGAGAUGCUGCUGUAGCUUCAGAUGACUGUCUGUGCAGCUGCUGGCUUAAAAACAUUCACUUUCACUGCACUGACAGACGUCUGAAGGCCUCAAGGGCAAAUAAACCCAAAUUUAUUGCAUGAAUAACCUUAACUGGGUGGAAAAUUUUGCAUUUUUGCACUUCAGGUUCGCGAAUCGAAACCUUUAACAGGAGCUGAUUAUUAAAAUUCCUCCUGACAUUCUCCCACUCCAGACUCAGAUCAACUAUUAGAAGCUGAGACUGAAUCGAUGAAGUCCAGCAGCUCCUUCUGUCAUGCAGGCAGAUUUAUUGACUGAAGACGUGUAGCAUGAAGCUGCUGACUCUUUAAAGUUUUCCAGCAGCAGAACUGUUGUCGUCUCUGUUUGUCUGCGCUCUGAUCUCUCUGUGGCUGUUUAAUGAAAAGCCUCUGAUGUUCCUCGCUGCCACAGAUUCAAUGUACUCCAAUUAAAUGGAAUUAGACGCCGGCUUAUGUGCUGCUUUAUUACGCCUCGCUUCUCGUUUGCACUGGCUGCCUCCGAUCUGAAUAGAAAUGAAACGCAGCUCGUCUCUGAAGGCAAAGUCAGACUAAAGCGAUGUUUAAACCGGUCGACUUUUUAUUUUCUGUUAAUUAAAUCGGUGCUGCGACAUGAUGCAGUAUAAAUAGCACACUGCUUUAAAGGACAUGCUGGAUGCCAUGUGGACACAUUUCAAGCUUUUCAGUGAUAUCAGGCUGAGUGAUCCACCACUAUUACACUGUAAAAGACAUUAGAUUGACAAAAAAAAUGACGGAAUGCUGUAAUGUUGGUGUCUAAAUUGUCCAAAAUGACUUUAAAACUGGCUGCACGUGUGAAGACAAGAAUCAUUAUGCACUCAAACCUGCUGAAACUUCUCCAGGAUGUCUCAGAAUUUCCUCAAACUGUCCAAAAUGAUUUGAAUAUCUGCUGCAAGAGUGAACACAGGAGUCUUCAUCUCUGUAACUGGUCUAAAAUUACCUGAAAACUGUCCACAAUUAAUCAAUACUAAGUCAAAAUUAAUUAAAAGUUGUCCAAAAUCAAAAAAAGUGUCCAAAAUUUAUUUUAACAUUUGUCUGCAAUGGCCCAAACCGGACCAAAAUAAUUGAAAUGUGUCUAAAAUGGCUCAAAAUUUUUCCAAAUUAAGUUGAAAACUGGCUGCAAGAGUGAACACAAGCAUCUUUGUGCACUGAAAAUUGUCCACAAUUAAUCAAAACUAGCUCAAAAUUAAUUACAAUUUGUCCAAAAUCACAAAAAGUGUCCAAAAUGAGUUAAAAAUGUGUCCAAAAUUGCUAAAAAAAAAUGUGUCCAGAAUGCCAAACAAUUGUCCAAGUUGAGUUGAAAAUGAGUCUGAGCGUCUUCAUGGUCUCAAACCUGUUUAAAACUAUUUGGAAAUUGUCCUGAAUGACUCAAAA